AACCUCGCUGUGUGUUAUAUGUGUCACACAGGACUGCUGGUAUUAAGCCGGAGGAAGGUGGGGACGACGUCAAGUCAGCAUGACCUUUAUAUCCAGGGCUACACACACGCUACAAUGGUCAGUACAAUGGGUUGCCAAGCCGCGAGGCGGAGCCAAUCCUAAAAAGCUGGCCUCAGUUCAGAUUGCAGUCUGAAACUCGACUGCAUGAAGUCGGAGUUGCUAGUAAACGCAGGUCAGCUAUACUGCGUUGAAUACGUUCCCGGGGCUU
rnacentral:rRNA from 1 species